rnacentral:rRNA from 1 species
AUUGAACGCUGGCGGCAGGCCUAACACAUGCAAGUCGAACGGUAACAGGAAGCAGCUUGCUGCUUUGCUGACGAGUGGCGGACGGGUGAGUAAUGUCUGGGAAACUGCCUGAUGGAGGGGGAUAACUACUGGAAACGGUAGCUAAUACCGCAUAACGUCGCAAGACCAAAGAGGGGGACCUUAGGGCCUCUUGCCAUCGGAUGUGCCCAGAUGGGAUUAGCUAGUAGGUGGGGUAACGGCUCACCUAGGCGACGAUCCCUAGCUGGUCUGAGAGGAUGACCAGCCACACUGGAACUGAGACACGGUCCAGAUUCCUACGGGAGGCAGCAGUGGGGAAUAUUGCACAAUGGGCGCAAGCCUGAUGCAGCCAUGCCGCGUGUAUGAAGAAGGCCUUCGGGUUGUAAAGUACUUUCAGCGGGGAGGAAGGAAGUAAAGUUAAUACCUUUGCUCAUUGACGUUACCCGCAGAAGAAGCACCGGCUAACUCCGUG